UUAGGAUAGUGAUCUAAGAUUGGAAGUUGAAAUAUUUUCGAAGCUAUUAAUUAUUUUUAGUUUAUAUACAUAUAAUUAUUAUUUUAACUAUUUCAAUGUGAGAUUAUAUUUAUAAAUUAAACUAUCGUUACAAAUCGUAAUUAGCCUACACAUAUUGAUGAGAAAUAAAAGGUUAGAAUUCUACGCUGAUACAUCGAAAGUUUAAGUACAAAUUAUUAAAAUAAAUAAACCAUAAGAACAAAAUGGAUGGAAAGUUCCUGAUUCGAACUCAUACAAUUUUUAGAGGAAUAAUUUUGUAGCAGUGAUAUUGACGUUCAACAUGUCCUUUCGAACAAAAUUGAAAUGAAAAACUUUAAAAAAAGCUACAUCUAGUCCGCAACUAAGAGACCAAUCAAUUCGUAAAUAAAACAAAAUGGUACUCGUUACUUUAAAAAAAUGCAAAACCGAUAAAAACUCUGGAUCGAUUUAUCGAUAGAAAAUUUUCCGAAAUAAGAGAAUUUCGAUUGGAAAUUUUGAUCAAAGGAUGGUGUGCUCGAGCAGAAUCGUCGAAUUAAUAAACUUGAACAUAAUGAUGCUUGGACAUUGUUCAAAGACGAAAGAAAACGGAUGAUGAAAAAUUCAUAUACUUUGCCACGGUGUAUAGUGCAAAGAGCAGUUGAACAGUUUCCACCGUUUCUCGCAUGCAAAUCCGAUUCCACGAAUUCAGACCUGGUCUUCUGACGCUUCUGGUGGCAACUAUGCGGUCGAAAUUACUAUUAAAGAGCACGUCGAAGACACCGACAGCCGUUUUAACUCAAUUAACUCAAUGUUUUGAAAAUUUUGAUCCGAUUGAUAAUUGAUUGAUUGAAACUUGUGCAGAUUUGCUUGUUUGCAUUGGAAAUAAUUUGGUGUAUUGGAUGUUAUUAGAAUAGAUACAUGAUCAUUGCUCGUAUUUUUGCUUUAAAAAAAAAACCUUUUGAACUUCUGAUGGGAUAUCGAUAAUUUAAUAUUAAUAUAAACGAUAGUCUUAUAUUAUUGAUGAAAAAAAUAAAUAAAUAAAAUAAAAAAU